rnacentral:rRNA from 1 species
UAGGGAAUUGUUCGCAAUGGGCGCAAGCCUGACGACGCAACGCCGCGUGGAGGAUGAAGGUUUUCGGAUCGUAAACUCCUUUCGAUCGGGACGAAUUUCCCGGGGACGAAUAAUCCCCGGGAGUGACGGUACCGAGAGAAGAAGCCCCGGCUAACUCCGUGCCAGCAGCCGCGGUAAUACGGGGGGGGCAAGCGUUGUUCGGAAUUACUGGGCGUAAAGGGCUCGUAGGCGGCCAACUAAGUCAGACGUGAAAUCCCUCGGCUUAACCGGGGAACUGCGUCUGAUACUGGAUGGCUUGAGAUUGGGAGAGGGAUGCGGAAUUCCAGGUGUAGCGGUGAAAUGCGUAGAUAUCUGGAGGAACACCGGUGGCGAAGGCGGCAUCCUGGACCAACACUGACGCUGAGGAGCGAAAGCCAGGGGAGCAAACGG